AAAAAGUGCAAGGUGAUCUUCGUAGAUUCAAUUCUACAUAAGGCGCAUGUCAAAAAGCAGAUUGAAGACUCAUUGAAGCGGUUUGGAUUAGCGAUCUCCAAACUUCGCUAAGAAGAGGCUUAUCUGCGACCUAUGAGAGGUUAACGACGUCGGUUGCGUUCGAAUUCCAGAAUCCGGGUGUGACAGACAUAGUAAUGUGAACCACCUAGAGGGACAUCGUAUUUGUUACGAGGAAGGCAUGCAUAUCGUAUCAUCAAAGGAGUUAAUAUCAUUGCCGAGAGGGUCAUCCUCUUCUAUUGCCAAGAAGGCCAUUGCACAUUCAAACGUCGAGAGGGCCAUCAUAUUCAAACCGCCAAGAGGGUCAUUGCCUCUUCAACCGCCAAGAGGGCCAUCAACUUUCCUUGCCAAGAGGGACAUUACAUAUGCAAACUGCCGAGAAGGCCAUUAUCUUCAAAUGUCGAGAGGGCAAUUAUGUAUGCAAAUGCCAAGAGGGCCAUUACAUCUUCGAAAACUCCAAGAAGGGUGUUACAUCUUUUCAUUGCCAAGAGGGCCAUUACAUAUCUGAACCUCCAAGAGGGCCAUUAUAUUCUAACGUUGAGAAGGUUGUUACAUCUUCGAAACCUCGAAGAAGACUGUUACUUCUUAAAAUUCCAAGUGUUCGUUGAUAAAAAAUUAGACAUUGAUUUUUUAGGAUAAAUUUUUUAAUUCUAUUAUUUUAUUGAUAAAUGGUCCUUAAUGAU